CCGGAGCCUGCUCUGCAUGACUUCCUUUCUUUUCGUCCUAUCAGGCUGUUGCAAGAGGUCUUCCAACUGUACCUGUGUAAAUAUUUCAGGCAUUCCCAAUGCACUUCUCCAGCAUUCCUAAGGAUGGGAAACUGGUUAUAACAAAGUACUCACUGCAGCGGGUGUGGAAGGCAUAAGGUUUUUAUUCAGCCUGCAGAGUGAGGAAACUAAUUCAAAAGCAUUA